rnacentral:rRNA from 1 species
UGUCUUUUUGAAAAUAAUAUAAAGUCUAAUCUGCCCACUGAUUUAAAUUAAAGGGCUGCAGUAUAUUGACUGUACAAAGGUAGCAUAAUCAUUAGUCAUUUAAUUGAUGACUUGUAUGAAAGAUUGGAUGAAAUAUAAACUGUCUCUCAAUUAAAAAUAGAAUUUAAUUUUUUAAUUAAAAAGUUAAAAUAAUUUAAAAAGACGAGAAGACCCUAUAGAGUUUUACAAAUAAAUUAAUUAAGAUUAUUUAUUAAAAUUAAAAUUAAUUUAUUUGUUCUAUUGGGGUGAUAGAAAAAUAUAUUUAACUUUUUUUAUAUAAAAACAUUUAUAAGUGAUUAAAUGAUCCAUUAUUAAUGAUUAUAAGAAAAAAUUACCUUAGGGAUAACAGCGUAAUUUUUUUUUUUAGUUCACAUAAGAAAAAGAGUUUGCGACCUCGAUGUUGGAUUAAGAUAAAAUUUAAAUGCAGAAG